UACGAAGGGGGCUAGCGUUGUUCGGAAUUACUGGGCGUAAAGCGUGCGCAGGCGGCCUUCCAAGUCAGGGGUGAAAGCCCAGAGCUCAACUCUGGAAUUGCCUUUGAGACUGUGAGGCUUGAGUACGGGAGAGGUGAGUGGAAUUCCCAGUGUAGAGGUGAAAUUCGUAGAUAUUGGGAAGAACACCGGUGGCGAAGGCGGCUCACUGGCCCGAAACUGACGCUGAGACGCGAAAGCGUGGGGAGCGAACAGG
rnacentral:rRNA from 1 species